rnacentral:miRNA from 1 species
CAGUGCAAUGUUUUCCUU